rnacentral:rRNA from 1 species
UACGUAGGGUGCGAGCGUUGUCCGGAAUUAUUGGGCGUAAAGGGCUCGUAGGCGGUUUGUCGCGUCGGGAGUGAAAACACCGGGCUUAACUCGGUGCUUGCUUUCGAUACGGGCAGACUUGAGGCAUGCAGGGGAGAACGGAAUUCCUGGUGUAGCGGUGAAAUGCGCAGAUAUCAGGAGGAACACCGGUGGCGAAGGCGGGUCUCUGGGCCGAUAUUGACGCUGAGGAGCGAAAGCGUGGGGAGCAAACAGG